AACGAACGCUGGCGGCGUGGAUAAGACAUGCAAGUCGAACGGGACAGACCGAGUAGCAAUAUUUGGAAUGUUCAGUGGCGAACGGGUGCGUAACACGUGGAUAACAUUCCGGAAAGCGGGGAAUAGCCCAGGGAAACUUGGAUUAAUACCGCAUGAGGCCGCAAGGCUAAAGACGGGGACCGCAAGGCCUGGCACUUUCCGAUUGGUCCGCGGCCUAUCAGCUAGUUGGCGGGGUAAUGGCCCACCAAGGCUACGACGGGUAGCUGGUCUUAGAGGACGACCAGCCAAACUGGAACUGAGACACGGUCCAGACACCUACGGGUGGCAGCAGUCGAGAAUCUUUCACAAUGGGGGCAACCCUGAUGGAGCGACGCCGCGUGGAGGAUAAGGUCUUCGGAUUGUAAACUCCUGUCAUGCGAGAACAAGGUACUCAGGCUAAUAACCUGAUUGUUUGAUGGUACCGCAAGAGGAAGAGACGGCUAACUCUGUGCCAGCCGCCGCAGUAAAAC
rnacentral:rRNA from 1 species